rnacentral:rRNA from 1 species
UACGUAGGGGGCAAGCGUUGUCCGGAUUUAUUGGGCGUAAAGAGCUCGUAGGCGGUUUGUUGCGUCGGCUGUGAAAUCCCGAGGCUCAACCUCGGGUCUGCAGUCGAUACGAGCAAACUAGAGUGUUGCAGGGGAGACUGGAAUUCCUGGUGUAGCGGUGAAAUGCGCAGAGAUCGGGAGGAACACCCGUAGCGAAGGCGGCACUCUGGGCCGGUACUGACGCUGAGGAGCGAAAGCGUGGGGAGCAAACAGG